UACGUAGGGGGCAAGCGUUGUCCGGAAUCAUUGGGCGUAAAGCGCGUGUAGGCGGCCCGGUAAGUCCGCUGUGAAAGUCGGGGGCUCAACCCUCGAAUGCCGGUGGAUACUGUCGGGCUAGAGUGCGGAAGAGGCGAGUGGAAUUCCUGGUGUAGCGGUGAAAUGCGCAGAUAUCAGGAGGAACACCAAUUGCGAAGGCAGCUCGCUGGGACGUUACUGACGCUGAGGAGCGAAAGCGUGGGGAGCGAACAGG
rnacentral:rRNA from 1 species